rnacentral:rRNA from 1 species
GAUGAACGCUAGCUACAGGCUUAACACAUGCAAGUCGAGGGGAAACGAUAUUGGAAGCUUGCUUCCGAUAGGCGUCGACCGGCGCACGGGUGAGUAACGCGUAUCCAACCUGCCCAUCACUUGGGGAUAACCUUGCGAAAGUAAGACUAAUACCCAAUGACGUCUCUAGAAGACAUCUGAAAGUGAUUAAAGAUUUAUCGGUGAUGGAUGGGGAUGCGUCUGAUUAGCUUGUUGGCGGGGUAACGGCCCACCAAGGCGACGAUCAGUAGGGGUUCUGAGAGGAAGGUCCCCCACAUUGGAACUGAGACACGGUCCAAACUCCUACGGGAGGCAGCAGUGAGGAAUAUUGGUCAAUGGGCGAGAGCCUGAACCAGCCAAGUAGCGUGCAGGAUGACGGCCCUAUGGGUUGUAAACUGCUUUUAUAAGGGAAUAAAGUGGGAGUCGUGACUCCUUUUGCAUGUACCUUAUGAAUAAGGACCGGCUAAUUCCGUGCCAGCAGCCGCAGUAA